GUCUCUGCCCACACCUGCCCCAUGACAGUGACAGUGAUCUGGGACCAAGAGCCAGACAUGCAGGGCUCUGAGAUGGCAGAGGGAUAUAUGUGGUAUGCGGGCAUUCCUUUUCCUGCCCCGCUUUACAAACCUGAAAACAUCAGAGCAGCCCACGAGCAGUUUGUGGUGAAGGACGAGGACAUCAUCACGGUGACCUACCCCAAGUCAGGAACCAACUGGAUGAUUGAGAUUCUGAGUCUCAUUCUCAGCAAGGGGGAUCCAGAGAGGAUCCACUCUGUGCCCAUCUGGGAAAGAUCCCCAUGGAUUGAGACUGAAGUGGGAUCCAAAAUAAU